rnacentral:rRNA from 1 species
UACUUAGGCAGCGAGCGUUGUUCGGAAUUACUGGGCGUAAAGGGUGCGUAGGCGGACUGAUAAGUCAGUGGUGAAAUCUCUCGGCUUAACCGAGAAACUGCCAUUGAUACUGUUAGUCUAGAGUAUAGAUGACGUUGGCGGAAUAUGACAUGUAGUGGUGAAAUACUUAGAUAUGUCAUAGAACACCGAUUGCGAAGGCAGGUAACGAAACUAUAACUGACGCUGAGGCACGAAAGUGCGGGGAUCAAACAGG